GAUGAACGCUGGCGGCGUGCCUAACACAUGCCAGUCGAGCGGCAGCGAGGGGUGCUUGCACCCUGCCGGCGAGCGGCGGACGGCUGAGUAACGCGUGGGAACGUGCCCCAAAGUGAGGAAUAACUGCCCGAAAGGGUAGCUAAUACCGCAUAUUAUCUUCGGAUCAAAGGAUUUAUCCGCUUUGGGAGCGGCUCGCGUCGGAUUAGGUAGUUGGUGAGGUAAUGGCUCACCAAGCCGACGAUCCGUAGCUGGUCUGAGAGGAUGACCAGCCAGACUGGAACUGAGACACGGUCCAGACUCCUACGGGAGGCAGCAGUGAGGAAUCUUCCACAAUGGGCGAAAGCCUGAUGGAGCAACGCCGCGUGCAGGACGAAGGCCUUCGGGUUGUAAACUGCUUUUAUAAGUGAGGAAUAUGACGGUAACUUAUGAAUAAGGAUCGGCUAACUACGUG
rnacentral:rRNA from 1 species